CUCAGAAAUGCUGUAGUAGUUUAAUUAUUUUAAAUAAAAUAAUGGAAAGUUUAAAAUCCAAACUUCUUCAAAAACCAAAGUGAAGGCACAAACUAAAAUUAAACAGAUAGGUCAUUCCAAAAUCCUCAAUAAAUAACUAAAUUCAGCUUUUACAAUUCCAAAUACUCAAAAACCCAGAAUAAAGUUCAAAAUCUGUAACCUGAAAACAGGCCAUAAAAACACUCAAUGGAAUAAACAAAAAUGAAAUUGAAGAUCAACUAUGAGCCCUAGAAGAAAAAUGCAAUGAGAACAAGAUCAAAAUUCAAACAGAUACAAGGUUAUAUUAUCAUAUACAAUAUUUAAUUAUAGUACAGUAAAAUUCAAACCACUGAAUCCAAUAAUCAUAGCUUUUUAACCCAUUUUAGCCCAGGGAAUACUUGUGCAAAUAAAAAAGAAUCAUUUACUAAUUUGUGAGUAAUAUCAACCAUACAUCAAGAACAGAAUUUAGUUGGAUAGCUUACCU
rnacentral:misc_RNA from 1 species